rnacentral:siRNA from 1 species
CACUUUUAGGUUUCUCUUUUUGC